CCAAAGUGCUGGGACUACAGGUGUGAGCCACCGCACUUGGCCUAAAUGCUGCUUUCUUUAUAGAUACCGUAACAUACUAAAGACACUGAGUCUCAAAGCCAUAAAAUGUGGGGCAUUUUGAAAAGAUUUUUACUGAAAUGGUUAAGAAGAUUAGUUUUAAAGGAGGAAACCCAGAGAUGUUUGGCAAACUGUGACUUCAAAAGAGAAUCUUGAGGGCGGGCUUGCUGCAGGGGCCUUGGAUUUGAAGCUGAGAUAAUCUCGACUCUACGGAACCAUGAGAUGACACUGACGCCCCCGCACCCACUUGCCCUGCC
rnacentral:lncRNA from 1 species